AAUGGAAGACCACGACGACGACUGCGAAGGGAGAAGGGUCGUCAACAAAAAAUAAUAUUUUUUUAAUUUUAUUCGAUGUUGACACUUCAACGAACCUCAUUGAUUUUAAAUUUAUUAGGAUGGUAAACUAUACUCAAACCUUAUGGAUACUCGAAAAUAUAUCCAAAGGGGACAAGUAAUUACCCGAGGCUCGGUACAAGAAGG
rnacentral:lncRNA from 1 species